ensembl:lncRNA
UCCACAGAUAUUAUUAAAAUGCCUUGUGAGCUCCAAACAACUGGUUGUGUUUGUGUGUACACUAGAAUCUCAAUCUACAAUCUCAAUUUCUACAAUGUACAGACAGCGUGAAGAAUGCCUCGUCUUGCGGCUCGGAUCACUGUCAGCAGCGAUUUUAUUGGAUCUAGAUCUCGAUUCAUUUGUGGCAUGUUUCUAUAAUAUGCAGCACAUACAGUAGAGACUCCAGGACAAGGAAUGGGAUCACUGGUGCAAUGUGAACAAUAAGCCCUACUGUUAAAGAAACUGGUUGUAAGUUGGCUCUGCUUUCUACACCCGGUCUAGAAUAUUAAAGGUUAUGGAUUACGAGCUGGUUCAAGUGUGUUAGAAGAAGGAAGCAUUCAAACUGUGCAGGGCGUUGAAUGUCCAGGACUUGCCUGGAGAACCAGUGGUAGAGGUACAGGUUGGACAUUGUAUGGGUUGAUUGGAGGGGGGUAAAAGUAGAAGUAAAAGUAUAUGUAGAAGAAUAAAUGAGGCAAUAAGCAAUUUAGAAUUCAUCUUAACUCCUCAUUUAUUUCACUAAUCCAUCCCUUUGUCCCACUGCACCUGAGCUCCUCAGUGUCUUACGUCUAGCUCCAUCUAGUGGUAUUUUACAACGAAUGCUUGCUAGUCACUUGGUGUUACAAUCUCAAACAUUUACAUGUUCUUUUAAAGAACCCAAAAAUAAGUUAUUGGGUCAAUCUAACUACUAAGUAAAAAGAAACCAUCCAAGUCUGAAAUGGAAAAAAAAAGAAAGGAGUCAAGGAGCGUAUAGAUUUCUUUUUUUGGAUACGUGUCUGUAAAGUGAGAGCCAGAUUCCUAAGGGGAGGUGAUCGCUACACUGCAGUGUUUACUCCACAGUCUGGCAAAGCCAAUGCAGUCUAUGAAGUAUUUAUUAGAAAUGUCUGGAACCAGCAUGCGAGAUUAAUGUAAGUGUAUAGUGCUCUGGUGUCAGAGAUAUCCCGCUCAACACCGUCCCCUCCAUAAAACUCUCAUCUCUUUCACAAAAAGCAUUAAUAUAUGCUCAAAUUUAAUUUAACCAUUACAUUCGAUAAACAGAUUGCCCAGACUCAUUUCUCACUCUUGUAACGAUGAACUUUUCCGACUAUUAUUAAUUACUAAAUAACUCACAGCAGUUAAAGUAAUAUAAUUCUAUAAUAUAGUAACACAACAUGCCGUACGAUAUAACUGAAUAAACUGACUUGACCUGAUGGGAUUAAACAAAUAAGCAGGGCUGAAAGUAUACACUCUACCAUUCAAACAAGCCAUACAAAUUGUAUUAAACCGUUUUGUUUUUACUUAUAGUUCAUUUAAAUACAUGUGCACACAAUUGUUAUGCUGUGUUCCAGUAUGGGUUUGGUUGAGAACCUAUUUCGAUUGAUUCUGAUUCAUUUCAGAUUUUGGAUGGCUGAGACAGCUGAGACAUCUUCAAUAUGUUCUCCUUUAUGUGUACUGUAAAAAUCCCGGUUUACAUCAGUGUCUUUUUUUUGUUGCUGUGAUCUUCAUGUCUGGAGAUGUAAAUAUCAUAUAGCUUUUAUUCUGGCUUUCUGGUGGAAAUUCAAAACCUCAUGGAGACGAAUCGAGAUCCUGGUUCAGGUAGAAACGGUCUGGUUGCUUUCCCAGGAAUUCCCCAAGAGCCUAUGUGUUUGGUGGGCCGGUGGUGGCCAUCUUUGGUCAAACUUGCUGAAAAAUUGUGGAUCGGUGAAGGGUCCGCCAUAUACAAUCGCCUGCAGCAAAUAGACCAGUGCCACCACCAGGCAGGAGAUCAGGAAGAAGGGCAUGAACGGACGGAAAUGAGUCCAGGCUUCUCCCAAAAUGUAGCCCAGACCACCUUUAUUGUGGUAAUGAGUGGUGCGACGGGAGGACGGCAGAGGCAGACCAGAUAGAGAACUGUCUUGAGCUACGCAGCUGAAGUGUCUUCCUUGAGUCCACAGGAGUGUUUAACAGCAGGGAUAGAGCUGUGUCGUAAAGCUCAGCCACACACUCCUGCUAUCCAUGACUCAUAGAAAUAC